GAUUAAAUGGCUGAAUAUUAGGCAAUAGAUUGUAAAUCUAUUUAUGAAAGUUUAUUUCUUUAAUCAA
rnacentral:tRNA from 1 species